rnacentral:rRNA from 1 species
UACGGAGGGUGCAAGCGUUAUCCGGAUUCACUGGGUUUAAAGGGUGCGUAGGUGGGCAGGUAAGUCAGUGGUGAAAUCUCCGGGCUUAACCCGGAAACUGCCAUUGAUACUAUCAGUCUUGAAUACCGUGGAGGUAAGCGGAAUAUGUCAUGUAGCGGUGAAAUGCUUAGAUAUGACAUAGAACACCCAUUGCGAAGGCAGCUUACUACACGAUCAUUGACGCUGAGGCACGAAAGCGUGGGGAGCAAACAGG